UUUGUGAGUUGGAGGCGAUAAAUGGUCAAUUCACACAGACAUAUGAACAUUUUUCCAUGUUUGACAAAGUGCCGAAGUCUAAUAUUAGCAUCCUGAUUUUUGCUUCUCUGCAAAAUCCAUGCCAGAGUGUUACAAGUGACGAACAAUCACUAAUAUUAACGCAAUCCAUGAAAAGACACUUCUGGUCAAGUUUAGAAUUCGAUAUGCAAAUAUAUUAUUCAUAGCGGCGUGUACUUCAAUCGAAACAUUUCUUGCAGAGUGAUGUAAUAACUGUGAGCCUGGAGUAGCAGCAUCCCUAAUGAAAAAGCAGACAAGCAUGACACUGAAGAUAUCAAGUUGAAAGGUGAAAUGAAGAACUGUGGAACUCACACUUGGAUUUCAAAAGAUGACAUGACGACAUGUGUGACCACAGGGUUCUCCUUCAAUUCCUGAUUCUGAAUUCUCAUUACUCUGAUGGAACAAACAUAUUCCUGUGGUGGCCUCACAGAUGCCCAGG